UACGUAGGGGGCAAGCGUUGUCCGGAUUUAUUGGGCGUAAAGAGCGUGUAGGCGGCUUUGCAAGUCCGUUGUGAAACUCGAGGCUCAACCUCGAGACGCCGGUGGAAACUGCAAAGCUAGAGUCCGGAAGAGGAGAGUGGAAUUCCUGGUGUAGCGGUGGAAAUGCGCAGAUAUCAGGAAGAACACCCGUGGCGAAGGCGGCGAUCUGG
rnacentral:rRNA from 1 species